ensembl:misc_RNA 7SK 7SK RNA
GGAUGUGAGGGCGAUCUGGCUGCGACAUCUGUCACCCCAUAGAUCGCCAGGGUUGAUUGGCUGCUCCGGCUGGCUAGGUGGGUGUCCCCUUCCUCCCUCACCUCUCCAUGUGCGUCCCUCCCAAAGCUGCGCACUCCAUCGAAGAGGACGACCUUCCCCGAUAGAGGAAAGGACCGUUCUUUGUCAAGGGUAUACCAGUAGCUGCGCUCCCCUGCUAGAACCUCCAAACAAGCUCUCAAGGAAAUCCUUAUCUCAAUAUCAUAAAUAUGGAUUUUUGGACAUUUCUUCAGCAUUUUACAGUUUUGCUUCUCCCUCUAAAGUUUUUAAUCCAUGGAGAAUCGUGUGUCUUU